UUACGGCCACAUCACGUUCAAAUACCGGUUCCCGUACGAUUACCGAAGUUAAGCAACUUCGAGUCUGUUCAGUACCUCGAUGGGUGAGCACUUGUAAAUACCAGGUAC